AUUGAUAUAUCAGAAAAUAGUGGAAACGCCUCAUAGAUUAACUGUGUGGUUUCCUUUACUCAUAGAACUACCUGUUAGAUCUGUGGGAAAGAACUACAAGACAGAG
ensembl:snoRNA